rnacentral:rRNA from 10 species
GAAUGACUCUCGGCAACGGAUAUCUCGGCUCACGCAUCGAUGAAGAACGUAGCAAAAUGCGAUACUUGGUGUGAAUUGCAGAAUCCCGUGAACCAUCGAGUUUUUGAACGCAAGUUGCGCCCGAAGCCAUCUGGUUGAGGGCACGCCUGCCUGGGCGUCACG